rnacentral:lncRNA from 1 species
AGAUCGACCUCCAAACGUUACUGUUAAUGGCAAGAAGAUAGGGAGAUCGGUGGGAGCAAAAACAACAUACAAAUCAAAGAGGAAACUGAAUAAUCACACAACAACCAUAGGUUCUUCGAGCAAAUGUAUUGCAUCUUAAAAAAGAAAGAUAAAUGAAAGCAUAGAGAGCUCAAAAAUUGAGAAAGGAAUAUAUGAAAAAGAAGAAGAUGAAAUUGCUACUGUGAAACAAGAUCGACCAAAGAGAUGAGGGAAAAAGAGAAAUCUUGCAACAACCAGUGUUCUCCAAAUUGAUGCCACCACCACAACAAUUCGAAACCAAGAAACUCCACCAGAAAUACUACCCUCAUAAAUCCCAAAUCCUCUUCCAAUUAACAACUCAAUUCCCCCAACCGUGAUUGUAAACUCAGAAACAACAAUGAACAACCGUAUUCUCGAGGCAAUUUAUAACAUCAACCAUCUCACAGAUCUCGAAAAUUCUGAGGGGGUUGGAUCAAGUGCUGCAAUUACAAAUGUGUUGGAUACUACUGGAGAGGAGGACAAUGAAGAGGUAAGUUUCCUAAACCUUUUUCAAUUUAGCAACCAUACCUUAAAUUUCCCUUCUACAUCACAUACAUUGCUACCCCUAUCACAAUUAUGUUAUUGUAUCNNNNNNNNNNNNNNNNNNNNNNNNNNNNNNNNNNNNNNNNNNNNNNNNNNNNNNNNNNNNNNNNNNNNNNNNNNNNNNNNNNNNNNNNNNNNNNNNNNNNCCCAAAAACCAUGGCAGGAGCCUCCUUCUCCUGUGGAACUCAAACUUAGAUGUUCAAAUUCUUCUAAGUAACAAAGUAUAUCAUAACAUCCUCAUUUGUGAUCCCUUAACUAACAAAAAUGGAAUCUCUCUCUCUCUCUUCUAUGGGAGCCCCUAUCUUGACUCUAAAGAAAGUAGUUGGGAAAAUCUCAAACUUGCUUGUGAAACCUCCACCCACCCCUGGAUGGUCAUGGGUGAUCUUAACCUUAUUUUCUCCCAGACUGAGAAAACAGGUGGGUUACCUUUUGAUCCCGGGGAAAGUGCCUUUGCUGUUAGUAUGAUUCAACAAUUGGGACUUAUUGACCUAGGGUUUAGUGAUGGACCCUACACCUGGUGCAAUAAGAGAGCUGGUAAUGAAAACAUAAGGAAAAGAUUGGAUAGAGGUAUGGCUAACUCUUCUUGGAAACUAUGCUACCCUAAUGCUACUAUUUCCCACUUGACAGCCAUAUCCUUUGACCAUUGUCCCAUUUCUCUCUCUAUUAACCUUACUACUGAAAAUUCUCCUAAACCUUUUAAGUUUCACAGUAUGUGGACUAAAGACCUCUCCUACCACAACUUGGUAAAUUCUGCUUGGUCAAAUGGUAAAGAGCCCUCCCAUGGGAUGCAUUUGAUACCCCAACUAAAGGCUACUAAAAAAAGCCUUGAUUCUUAGGAACAAAAAAGUGUUUGGCAAUGUCUUUAGAGAAGUCACUUCUCUAUAAGACCAAAUCUCCCACCUUCAAGCCCUGCCCUACAAUGGUGAAAAUAAAACCAAAGAGAGAGUUUUGCUUCUCCAGUUGGAUGAAACUCUUUAAAAAGAGGAAGCUUUCUGGAAACAAAAAUCCAGUGAUAAAAUCAUCCAGGAAGGGGAUAGGAACACCAAAUUCUUCCACCUAACCACCCUCAUUCAUAGGAGCCACAACCACAUCCAUGCUAUCUUAGACAACUCCAACAACUGGGUCUUGGGGCAGAACAUGAUUGGUAGAACCCUUGUUGAGCACAACACUAAAAUUUUGUGCCCUAGACAAAUAUCCCUUUCUGAGGGACAAAAAGAUAAAAUCCAAUCCUUGUUCCCUAACUCCUUGGAUUCCAUAGACAAUGACUACCUCUCUUGCCCUCCCACCAUAGAAGAACUCAAAUUUAUUAUGGAUGAGAUUGGGCCUCUCAAAGCACCUGGGCCUGAUGGUUUUCCUAGCCUCUUCUACCAAGAAUCUUGGGACACCACCAAGUCGGAUCUCCUAGACUUGACCCAUGAUUUUUGAAAUAACAAUAUUUCUCUUGAGCAUAUCAAUAAAACCAAUAUUGCUCUAAUCCCUAAAGGCCCAAACCCUUCUCACCUUUCUGAGUUUAGACCCAUUAGUUUUUGCAAUGUGAUUUACAAAGUUAUUUCGAAGCUGAGAGAGUGAAAACCUUUCUCCCUAACAUCAUCUCUCCCCUUCAAUGUGCUUUUGUCCCUCACAGACAAAUUUCUGACAAUAUAAUCAUCACCCAUGAGAUCCUGCACACCAUGAAAAAUAAACAAGGUAUAGGAGGGUUGAUGGCCAUAAAAAUUGAUAUGUCUAAGGCCUUUGAUAGAGUCAAUUGGCACUGUCUAAUCCACAUUCUCUCUUGUCUAGGUUUCAAUGAUAACAGUGUUAAUCACAUCCACAACUCUGUGUCCACCAUCUAUUCUUCCAUCAUUCUCAAUGGUUCCCCUUAUGGCUAUUUCAAACCUACCUGUGGGCUCAGACAAGGAGACCCUCUAUCUCCUUCCCUAUUCAUUCUCUGCAUGGAGUUACUUUCCAGACUCCUCAAUGAGAAAUGUAACCAAGGAAAAAUCCAUGGGAUCAAGGUUGCUAGGAAUAGUCCCCCUAUCUCUCACCUCCUUUUUGCAGAUGAUAUCUUCAUCUUCUGUAGAGCUAAUUAUUGAAGCCAUUGAGCUCAUUGACUCCCUCCACACCUUUUGUGAUCUAUCAGGACAACAAAUCAAUUACUCCAAAUCUGGUGUCCUGUUUAGCAAAAAUACCUCCAACUACAACCAAAACACCAUUCAGACCAUCCUCCAAAUGAAAUCUCUUAAAAAGAAGCAACUAUACCUUGGUACCCCUUUGUUCUUGGUGGAACACUAAUCCUCCAUGUUCAAAAACCUCAUUCAAAGAAUUGAGAAAAGACUUUCAGGAUGGAAAGGGAAAGUCCUUUCUUAAGCGGGGAAGACUGUUUUAAUCAAAAGUAUUACCUCGGCCAUCCCCUCCCACCAAAUGACUUGUUUUAAAAUCCCCAAAGAGAUCACCUCUAAAAUUGAUGCUAUCCAAAGAGAUUUCUGGUGGGGUAAAGAAGAAAACAAAAGGAAAAUGUACCUCAAAAGUUGGGACUUCAUUUGUAGACCCAAAAGGCUAGGUGGUUUAGGCACAAAAAAGAUGGAAACCCAAAAUGAUGCCCUCAUCUCUAGAAUUUCCUGGAGACUUCUCACAAAAAAGGAAAAUUUGUGCACACAAAUUAUCAAGUCCAAAUAUCACAAAAACACCCCACUCCUCCACAGUUCCCACUCUACCAAUGCCUCUUGGUUCUGGAAAUCAAUCUCCAAUUCCAUCCAAAAGAUGAAUCCUUGCAUCUGCUGGGAGAUUGGUAAAGGGGAUGACAUUAACAUCUGGGAUGACAACUGGAUCCCUACCCUUCCCCUCUUUAAGAUUCCCCCUGACACAUCCAGGGCCCCCAACUUAAUUAAUGUUAGAGAUCUUCUCAUCCCCAACACUAAUAUUUGGAAUAACCCCCUUCUGGAGGCUACCUUCAACAUCGAUACUUGUCACCACAUUUGUAACAUCCACUUAGGGAGAACUCACCAACCUGACACUCCCAAGUGGAUGUGUACUAAGAAAAGAAAACAUAGUGUGAAAUCCAUGUAUUCCCAUCUUGCUUCUCCCCCUCACCUCAUUACAAAAAAUGGAAAAGUCAAUUUAAAAAUUUGGAAAACUAAGGCUGCCCCUCAAGCUAUUCUCUUUGCUUGGAAAUGCUUAAACAGAGUGGUACCCACAAGAGCUCACAUAGGCCAAUUCAUACAUAUCCCUACUAAGCUUUGCCCCAUGUGUAACCACCGUGAAGAAACCAUAGACCACAUGCCCACUCACUGUCCCUUUACCCAAGCUAUUUGAUUCCUAAGUAGAUGGUCCUUUAGACUCACACAUUUCACCAACAUGACUGCCAACCAAUGGAUCCACUCUUGGUUCUCCUUCCACAAAGACUGGUUACUCCCCAAAGAAAAAUGGGCUAGCCUUUGUGUAACUUCAACUUGGCAAAUUUGGAAGACUAGAUGUAUCAAAGUCAACCAGAACAUCACUAUUGAGCCUGGUACUGUGGCUAGACAGAUUGCAGAAAUCAUGUUUCAGUAUGACAAGGUCCCAAUGUAUCCUCAAUUACUUCCUCCACCUCCCCAGAACAAUGCUAUUGGGAUUCCCCAACCCAAAAACUUUCAUAAGCUCAAUAUAGAUACCCAUUUUACAGGUACAGAUCACAGGUUUGGUAUAGGCUUCAUACUAAGGAAUGCCAAUGAGAAAUUUGCAGGUGCUGGAAGCUGCUCAGGUACAGCAGGAUCCUCAGAUGAUGCAUGGGCAACAGGAAUACUGGAAGCCAUUCUUUGGGUGACCCAGCAACCAGUAACUGCAUUAGUGCUCAAAACCUAUGCUGUCAGGGGCGCCGCUUGAGCGCCGCUCAGCGCCGCCUAGGCGCUAUUUCUAAAGGAGGACGCUCCGCUGGGCCAACACAACGCCUAAAACGCCUUGGG